AUUGAACGCUGGCGGCAGGCCUAACACAUGCAAGUCGAGCGGUAACAUAGGGAGCUUGCUCCUGGGUGACGAGCGGCGGACGGGUGAGUAAUGUCUGGGAAACUGCCUGAUGGAGGGGGAUAACUACUGGAAACGGUAGCUAAUACCGCAUAACGUCGCAAGACCAAAGAGGGGGACCUUCGGGCCUCUUGCCAUCAGAUGUGCCCAGAUGGGAUUAGCUAGUAGGUGGGGUAAUGGCUCACCUAGGCGACGAUCCCUAGCUGGUCUGAGAGGAUGACCAGCCACACUGGAACUGAGACACGGACCAGACUCCUACGGGGGGCAGCAGUGGGAAAUAUUGCACAAUGGGCGCAAGCGUGAUGCAGCCAUGCCGCGUGUAUGAAGAAGGCCUUCGGGUUGUAAAGUACUUUCAGCGGGGAGGAAGGUGUUGAGGUUAAUAACCUCAGCAAUUGACGUUACCCGCAGAAGAAGCACCGGCUAACUCCGUGCCAGCAGCCGCAGUAAGAC
rnacentral:rRNA from 1 species